rnacentral:rRNA from 1 species
CCUACGGGGGGCAGCAGUGGGGAAUAUUGCACAAUGGGGGGAACCCUGAUGCAGCGACGCCGCGUGGGUGAAGAAGUCAUUCGUGACGUAAAGCCCUAUCAGCAGGGAAGAAAAUGACGGUACCUGACUAAGAAGCCCCGGCUAACUACGUGCCAGCAGCCGCGGUAAUACGUAGGGGGCAAGCGUUAUCCGGAUUUACUGGGUGUAAAGGGAGCGUAGACGGCGGCGCAAGUCUGAAGUGAAAGGCGGGGGCCCAACCCCCGGACUGCUUUGGAAACUGUGCUGCUGGAGUGCAGGAGAGGCAA